rnacentral:rRNA from 1 species
AUUGAACGCUGGCGGCAUGCCUAAUACAUGCAAGUCGAGCGAGAAGGUGUAGCAAUACACUUGUAAAGCGGCGAACGGGUGAGGAAUACAUGGGUAAUCUACCAUCGAGUGGGGAAUAACCAACCGAAAGGUUGGCUAAUACCGCGUACGCCUCCGGGUCUUCGGGUUCGGAGGGAAAGCUGCACUGUGAGUGUAGCGCUCUUUGAUGAGCUCAUGUCCUAUCAGCUUGUUGGUAGGGUAACGGCCUACCAAGGCUUUGACGGGUAGCUGGUCUGAGAGGACGAUCAGCCACACUGGGCACUGCGACACGGGCCAGACUCCUACGGGAGGCAGCAGUAAGGAAUAUUGCGCAAUGGGCGAAAGCCUGACGCAGCGACGCCGCGUGGGGGAUGAAGGUCUUCGGAUUGUAAACCCCUUUCGGAGGGAAGAUGGAGCGAGCAAUCGUUCGGACGGUACCUCCAGAAGCAGCCACGGCCAAC